CUGUGAAAAACUCCCCUCUCCAAGUGAGUUUGCCACAAGCUCUUAGAGGAGCCUGCUUGCCAGCCUCCUGCCCACAGACUGUAAAAACCUGUAAAAAACUACCAAACUUGACCGACAGUUAGCACUGAUUUCAUGGAACUGUUUUGGACAUAGGACCAUGUGCACCGUCGGUCAAAAUUAUGACUUCCAGGAAAUUCCUGAAC